AAUAGCGGAGGAAAAGAAACCAACAGGGAUUGCCCCAGUAACGGCGAGUGAAGCGGCAAAAGCUCAAAUUUGAAAUCCUGCGGGAAUUGUAAUUUGAAGGUUUCGUGGUCUGAGUCGGCCGCGCCCAAGUCCAUUGGAACAUGGCGCCUGGGAGGGUGAGAGCCCCGUAUGGCGCACGCCGACUCUUUGCACCGCGGCUCCGACGAGUCGAGUUGUUUGGGAAUGCAGCUCUAAGUGGGUGGUAAAUUCCAUCUAAAGCUAAAUAUUGGCGAGAGACCGAUAGCGAACAAGUACAGUGAUGGAAAGAUGAAAAGCACUUUGAAAAGAGAGUGAAACAGCACGUGAAAUUGUUGAAAGGGAAGGGCUUGCAAGCAGACACGGUUUUACCGGGCCAGCGUCGAAAAGGGGGGAGGAACAAGAACUCGAGAAUGUGGCGCGCACCUUCGGGCGCGCGUGUUAUAGCUCGUGUUGACGCCUCCAUCCCUUUUCGAGGCCUGCGAUUCUAGGACGCUGGCGUAAUGGUUGCAAGCCGCCCGUCUUGAAA
rnacentral:rRNA from 1 species